AUGUUAGGUUUAUAUUCUAAAAGUUUUAUUCUUGCUUAAAUAUUCACUUUUUCUUUGUAUUAUAUGUAAGUUUUGUUAUACUGAAUGUUCUUUAUAGCAGUAAUUUGAUUUAAUUAUCAAGUGAUUUUGGAAUUAGCAACUGAUCUAGUAUCGGCAUAUUUCGUGCCAGCAGCCGCGGUUAUACGAUUGAUACAAGUGAAUAUUAUUGGUUUAAACAGUUAUUUAUAUUUUUAGAGUUAAAUUUUGAAUUAAUAAGGUGAAAUUUAGAAUUUUAUUGUGACUCUUUUUAUGAAUCUGUGAAACUUAAAUAAUAAACUAGGAUUAGAUACCCUAUUAUUUUAAGUGUUAAUUUAAUUUACCAGGGUAUUGUUAGUUAAGAUCUUUAAACCCAAAGAAUUUGGCGGUAUCUCAUUCCAUUCAGAGGAACCUACCCCGUGAUUGAUAGUACACGAUUAACUUUACUUAAUUUAUUUGUUUGUAUAUCUCCGUUAUCAGAAAAUCUUUUUAGAGUUAUAAUUUUCUUGAUUCAAGAUUAUGGAAUAUUUCAGGUCAAGGUGCAGCUUAUAAUUAAGAGGAGGUGGGUUACAAUAGAUUAUUGUUUAUUACGGAUUUGAUGAUGAAAAUUGUUAAUGAAGGUGGAUUUGAUUGUAAUUUAAUUUUAUUUUAUUUAACUGAUAUUGGCUCUGAGGUGUGUACACAUCGCCCGUCGCUCUCAUUAUUGAAUUUUUUACUUUAAGGUUUAAUAAUUAAUGGGUAUAUUCAAAUUAGAUGAGAUAAGUCGUAACAUAGUAGAUGUACUGGAAAGUGUAUCUAGGAAGAGGUU
rnacentral:ncRNA from 1 species